GGGAUGGAGGGGUUGGCAGCAGCACAGCAUAGCAGAAUUUUCUGAUUCACUACCACUGCUGGUGUUACAGCGUGAACGUGACCUGAAGACAAAAAGGCUGUACAGAAUCAUUGUCACUUCCACAGGAGGGGUUUCGGCGACGCGUGUAAGGGAACUUUGGCGACUUAGUGCGAUCACUGGGAGAAUUGUAGAGUCCACUGGAGAGAAAGAAAAAUGGUCAAAAAGAGCCCAGAGAGUUCCUGGGGGAAAACACACCGCAGCCCAGACCUAUUCAUAACUGCACAGCUGGUACUUCCAGAGGCACAUGCACCAGGGGCACGUGGUUCUCUUUGCUGACAAGAUUUAUUAAAAGAAAAGAGGAAAGAACUAUUCUAAAAUGGACCCUCCCUCCAAAAAAGCCCAAACAGCCAAAGCAAUUCUAAGCAGAAAGAACAAAGCUGGAGGCAUCACACUACCUGACUUCAAACUGUACUACAAGGCUACAGUAACAAAAA
rnacentral:lncRNA from 1 species